AUUGAACGCUGGCGGCAUGCUUUACACAUGCAAGUCGAGCGGCAGCGCGGGAGCAAUCCUGGCGGCGAGCGGCGAACGGGUGAGGAAUACAUCGGAACGUACCCCGGAGUGGGGGAUAACGCCGCGAAAGCGGCGCUAAUACCGCAUAUGCUCUGAGGAGGAAAGUGGGGGACCUGCAAGGGCCUCACGCUCUGGGAGCGGCCGAUGUCCGAUUAGCUAGUUGGUGGGGUAAUGGCUUACCAAGGCGACGAUCGGUAGCUGGUCUGAGAGGAUGAUCAGCCACACUGGGACUGAGACACGGCCCAGACUCCUACGGGAGGCAG
rnacentral:rRNA from 1 species